rnacentral:piRNA from 1 species
UAUCCCAUUGGACUGAUAAGUGU